GGCGGGGCCUAGGCGGCGAGUGGCUGGGCGAGCGUUGCUUCGCCUGGUCCUGGCUGGGGGUAGGGGCUAGGGCCGGGUCCCGGCAUGAGCCGAAACCUGGGGUUCGAGUGGGGCGGGGAAUGGGGCACAGUGAGGCUGGGAGCCGGCCCUGAGCUUGUCUUGCGUAGGGGUAGCCAGGCUCGGGGCGCCUGAGCUGGAGGCGGAAGUGUGAAAUAAGGACUGAGUGGGCAAAGAGAACCUGGGCUGAGACAUGGCCGCUUACCAACAAGAAGGGCAGAUGCAGCUUCCCCGAGCUGAUGCCAUUCGUUCACGUCUCAUCGAUACUUUCUCUCUCAUUGAGCAUUUGCAAGGCUUGAGCCAAGCUGUGCCGCGGCACACUAUCAGGGAGUUACUUGAUCCUUCCCGCCAGAAGAAACUUGUACUGGGAGAUCAACACCAGCUAGUGCGUUUCUCUAUAAAGCCUCAACGUAUAGGACAGAUUUCACAUGCCCAGAGGCUGUUGAGCAGGUUUCAUGUGCGCUGCAGUCAGAGGCCACCUCUUUCUUUGUGGGCCGGAUGGGUCCUUGAGUGUCCUCUCUUCAAAAACUUCAUCAUCUUCCUGGUCUUUUUGAAUACGAUCGUAUUGAUGGUUGAAAUAGAAUUGCUGGAAUCCACAAAUACCAAACUAUGGCCAUUGAAGCUGACCUUGGAGGUGGCAGCUUGGUUUAUCUUGCUUAUUUUCAUCCUGGAGAUCCUUCUUAAGUGGCUAUCCAACUUUUCUGUUUUCUGGAAGAGUGCCUGGAAUGUCUUUGACUUUGUUGUUACCAUGUUGUCCCUGCUUCCCGAGGUUGUGGUAUUGGUAGGGGUAACAGGCCAAUCGGUGUGGCUUCAGCUUCUGAGGAUCUGCCGGGUGCUGAGGUCUCUCAAACUCCUUGCACAAUUCCGUCAAAUUCGAAUUAUUAUUUUGGUCCUGGUCAGGGCCCUCAAGAGCAUGACCUUCCUCUUGAUGUUGCUGCUCAUCUUCUUCUACAUUUUUGCUGUGACUGGUGUCUACGUCUUCUCAGAGUACACCCGUUCACCUCGUCAGGACCUGGAGUAUCAUGUGUUCUUCUCGGACCUCCCGAAUUCCCUGGUAACAGUGUUCAUUCUCUUCACCUUGGAUCAUUGGUAUGCACUGCUUCAGGACGUCUGGAAGGUGCCUGAAGUCAGUCGCAUCUUCAGCAGCAUCUAUUUCAUCCUUUGGUUGUUGCUUGGCUCCAUUAUCUUUCGAAGUAUCAUAGUAGCCAUGAUGGUUACUAACUUUCAGAAUAUCAGGAAAGAGCUGCAUGAGGAGAUGGCGCGUCGGGAGGUUCAGCUCAAAGCUGACAUGUUCAAGCGGCAGAUCAUCCAGAGGUCUGCUUCUCCCUUUUCAACCCCAACUUUCCUUCUCAAGGGUUUCCUGAGCUCAUUUCUUGUUCCUACUUCUUGACCCCACUUUUCCCUUUGUGACAGUAGAUUUGCCCCCAAGGAUAAGAAUUCUCCAGCUCUAGAAUAUUGCCUGAUUCUUCAUCCACUGUGGGGUGUCCUCCAUUUUUUUCACCCCUUGACUAUAAUUUGUUCUCCCCAAUUAGUUUUCUUCACUUUCUGAUAUGAACUCUUUUUUUCUUACCACACUUUUGCUUGAAUAUAACUGUCUUUGCUCUUUUUUUUUUUUUUUUUGCUCUGCAGGAGAAAAAACAUGUCGCAUGAAGCACUGACGUCAAGCCAUAGCAAAAUAGAGGACAGGUUAGGAGUAUGUGUGUGAACUGGGAUAGAAACACAUGAAGGAGGAGAGGGUGGAAAACUAAAGAUGAAGAUUGGCUUUGAGAGAUCAUUCAUUCAUUUAAUAACUGCAUAUUGUAGUAGGUUGACUAGUGGCACCCGAAAUAAUAUGUUCAUGUCCUUACUCUCUGGAACCUGUGAAUGUGACCUUAUUUGGGGAAAAAAAGAUCCUAAGUUAAGGAUCUUGAGAUGAGAUCAUCCUAGAUUAUCCAGGUAGGUCCUAAAUCCAAUGGCAAGGGUACUUAUAAAAGAUGAAAGAGGAGAAGACACAGAGAAUAAGAGAAGGCAAUGUGAAGAUGGAGAUAGAGGUUGGGGCUAAUGCCACCGCAAGCCAAGGGAAGCUGAGGAAUGCCAGGCAGCUGCCAGAAGGUAGAAGAUGCAAGGAACUUCUCCCCUAAAGCCUCCAGAGGGAAUAUGGCCCUGCCAACACCUUCAUUUCAGACUCUAGCCUCUAGAAUUGUGACGGAAUAUAUUUCUGUCAUUUUAAGCUACCAAGUUUAUAGUAAUUUGUUAUGGCAGCCACAGGACACUAAUACAAAUACCUUCCAUGAAACAGAUAUGAUUCUAGACCCCAAGUGUUUAGCAGUGGACAAAAAAAGCAGAAGCGGAAGUAAACUCAUUCACUCAUUAACAAAUAAUUACUGGCUAGAUGAGGUGGAUUAUACUUGUAAUCCCAACACUUUGAGAGGUGAAGGCAAGAGGAUUGCUUGAAGUUCAAGCCAGAAGUUCAAGACUGCAUUGAGACAUGAUUGCACCACUAUACUCCAGCCUGGGCAACAGAGCAAGAUCCCAUCUCAAAAAUUUAGCAGGGUGGGUGCGGUGACUCAUGCCUGUAAUACCAGCAUUUUGGAAAACAGGUGGGCAGAUGACUUGAGCUCAGGAGUUCGAGACUAAACUAGGCAAUAUGGUAAAAUCCUGUCUCUAUGAACAAAAAUUAGCUGGAUGUGGUGGUGUGUUCCUGUGGUCCCAGCUACUUAGGAGGCUGAGGUGGGAGGACUGCUUGAGCUGAGAGGUUGAGGCUGUGGUGAGCCGUGAUUGUGCCACUGCUCUGCAGCCUGGGUGACAGAGCAAGACCCUGUCUCAAAAAAAAAAAACAAAAAACAAUAAAGAACAAAUAAUUAUUGAAUACUUAGUAGGUGCUUGGGAUGUUAUCAGUGAACAAAAUAGACAAUAAUGCCUGCUUCAUGGAGCUUACAUAUUAGUAGUGGUAAAGAGAUAAUAAGCAGUGAAUAUAUUAAGUAAAUUAAUCUGUUAAAAUAUGAUAAGCAUUAUGGGAAAAUUAAAAGUAGAACAGGUUAAGGGAGAUUGGGAGUAGAAGGUGGGAUUGCAGAUGGGUUGUAGGUUUUUUUUUUUUUUUUUUUUUUUUUUUUUUUUUUGAGGCAGAGUCUCGCUCUGUCACCAGGCUGGAGUGCAGUGGCACGAUAUCGGCUCACUGCAACCUCCGCCUCCUAGGUUCAAGCGAUUCUCCUGCCUCAGCCUCCCAAGUAGCUGGGACUACAGGUGCCUGCCACCAUGCCUGGCUAAUUUAUUUAUUUAUUUUUUUGUAUUUUAGUAGAGACGAGGUUUCACCAUGUUGCCCAGGCUGGUCUCAAACUCCUGAGCUCAGGCACUCCACCCGCCUCAGCCUCCAACAGUGUUAGGAUUACAGGCGUGAGCCAUCGUGCCCAGCUGCAGAUGGGUUGUAGUUUUAAACAGGGUAGUCACGGUGACCUCAUUGAAAAGGUAAUGUGAGCAAAGACUUGAGGUAAGGGGAUUACCAUGUGGAUAUCUGUAAGAAGAGUGUUAAUAGGCAGAUGAAACAGUGCAAAGCUCCGAAGCUGGAAGCAUGCUUGGUUUGUUUGAGAAACAGCAGAGGCCGUUGUGACUGGAGUAGAGUGAGCAGGGGGAAGAGUGCUGGGAAAUGAAGUCAGAGAGAGAAUGGUGACCUGAUCCUGUAGGGUUAUGGGUGCCAUUAUAGGGACUUUGAAAUGGCAAGCAGAACAGAGGGGUGACAUGAAGUGACUUACGUUUAAGAAGGAUUACUCUGGUUGCUGUGUUGAUAGAAGAACAAGGGAAGGAGCAGAGAGAUCAGUUGGGAGGCUAUGCUGCUGCCCAGGCAAGAAAUGAUGACAGCUUAGGCCAGAGUGGUGGCAGUGAGUUAGUGAGAAAAGAUAUAUUUCGAAGGUGGAGUCAGCAGGAUUUCUUGAUGGACUGGAUAUGGGAGGGGAGAGAAGAGUUAAGGAUGACACAUGAAUGAUUGAGGUUGGAAGUGCCUGAGUUUAGAGUUUGGGAGUAGUUUGGCCCUCAUUGUCUUAUGCCCCAGCUUUAGGGGGUGGCCAGGGGCAGAACUAGAAUAAUGAGUGGACUAGUCAUAUCUUGUAAAUGUUUGUGAAGCCAUACAUUUCUCCUUUCUGUUCAAGAGGAGCUAGUCAACAAAGGGAAAGUUUGGACUUAUCAGAAGUGUCUGAAGUAGAGUCUAAUUAUGGUGCCACUGAAGAGGAUUUAAUAACAUCUGCAUCAAAAACAGAAGAGACCUUGUCAAAAAAGAGAGAGUACCAGUCUUCCUCCUGUGUCUCCUCCACAUCCUCUUCCUAUUCUUCCUCUUCUGAAUCCAGAUUUUCUGAAUCUAUUGGUGAGCCGAAGAACUAUAAUAAUGAGUUUUUUCCAUUUGAAUUCAGACUCCUCUUUAAGACAUCUUAGUCUUAACAGGAGCUCUCCUACUAUAUCUCCUUUCCAAUUUUCUGGUCUUAAUUACUUUCUUUUUGCUUCUUAAUUUCCCCUGUACUUCUUCUUCACUUCGGGUAAGUGUGGCUGUGGCCCUCUUUGCUCGUUGUAAAAAGUGGUUUCUUACUGAUGCACCCUUUCCCUCCUUGCUUCCUGUUACCUCUUUCCACCCCACCUUUCCACCCACACCAUAGGAUUUACCAGCUUUUACCCAACUUUUACAAAUCUAGACGUGCUUUUCUGAAGCAUUCCUCCCUGCAGGUCGUUUGGACUGGGAGACUCUUGUGCACGAAAAUCUGCCCGGGCUAAUGGAAAUGGAUCAGGAUGACCGUGUUUGGCCCAGAGACUCACUCUUCCGAUAUUUUGAGUUGCUAGAAAAGCUUCAGUAUAACCUAGAGGAACGUAAGAAGUUACAAGAGUUUGCAGUGCAGGCACUGAUGAACUUGGAAGACAAGUAAAGCAAUGGAUGGCUUCAAUAUCCUUGGGCCCAGCAAAAGAUAAUGAAGGGAAUUGUUGGAAAUAGAGAAUUGAAAAUAUAAACAUUCAGAUAGAACAAUGUCUGUUCAUUAAAAUUAAAAAGUAUAAGUGUCUAGGCCA
rnacentral:sRNA from 1 species